GCUUGCUUCGGAAAUACAUAUACUAAACUUGGAACAACAAAGAGAAAAUUGGCAUGGACCCUGCACAAAGGGGACACGCAAAUUCGCGAAGCGUUCCAUAUUUUU